rnacentral:tRNA from 1 species
GGGCCGUUAACUCAGUCGGAAGAGUAUCUGCCUUUUAAGCAGAGAGUCGCGCGUUCGAAUCGCGCACGGCCCACCA